rnacentral:rRNA from 1 species
CCUACGGGAGGCAGCAGUGAGGAAUAUUGGUCAAUGGGCUUACGCCUGAACCAGCCAAGUCGCGUGAGGGAAGACUGCCCUAUGGGUUGUAAACCUCUUUUGUCAGGGAGCAACGCCGGCUACGUGUAGCCGGACUGAGAGUACCUGAAGAAAAAGCAUCGGCUAACUCCGUGCCAGCAGCCGCGGUAAUACGGAGGAUGCGAGCGUUAUCCGGAUUUAUUGGGUUUAAAGGGUGCGUAGGCGGAAUGCCAAGUCAGCGGUAAAAUCGCGGGGCUCAACCUCGCUCCGCCGUUGAAACUGGCGGUCUUGAGGGGGCGAGAAGUAUGCGGAAUGCGUGGUGUAGCGGUGAAAUGCAUAGAUAUCACGCAGAACUCCGAUUGCGAAGGCAGCAUACCGGCGCCCAACUGACGCUGAAGCACGAAAGCGUGGGUAUCGAACAGGAUUAGAUACCCCUGUAGUC